GGUUUAUUGGAUUCAUACUCCUAGCAUUACUUCAUCUACUAUAUGCGUUUUCUAUGAAACACUGCUAGGUGUAUUGCAUUCAUACUCCUAGCAUCCCUGCAUCUGCUAUAUGCGUUCUCUGCUAAACACUGCUAGGUGUAUUGGAUUCAUACUCCCAACAUCCCUGCAUCUGCUAUAUGCAUUUUCUAUGAAACACUGCUAGGUGUAUUGGAUUCAUACUCCUAGGAUCCCUGCAUCUGCUAUAUGCUCUUUAUACUAAACACUGUUAGUCUUCCACAGGUGUAUUGGAUUCAUACUACUAGCAUCCCCGCAUCUGCUAUAUGCGUUUUCUGCUAAAUACAGCUAGGUGUAUUGGAUUUAUACUCCUAGGAUCCCUGCAUCUCCUAUAUGCUCUUUCUACUAAACACUGCUUGGUGUAUUGUAUUCAUACUCCUAGCAUCCCUGCAUCUGCUAUAUGUUUUUUCUACUAAACACUGCUAGUAGAUGUUGAGUGACAGCCGGUAUGCCACAGUACGUCAUCCAGGAACAUGCGGGUGUGUGUAACAUUUCCGAAGUUACGGUACAGGACGGAAUGGCGCGCCUUCCCUGGCAUCAGUAACAACUGGGUUCCAGGACAACUUCCAGAGACCUGUACCAGCAAUCUAUACUCUGCUAAUAAACA